GAAAAGAAUAGUUUUGACAUUCUGGAUGUUCUCUAUAAGAGAUUAUUCACAGGAUGGCUGGAUGGUUUGCACGGAAAAGGAUGUGACUAUUCCACCUCUUUGUCCUUUUGUCGGUUUUGGAAGCAAAUUGAAAUUUUAAAAGUGUGGUAUGUCCAACCAAAUUUAACUUCCAGUUUAGGUUCCAAUAUGGGAAAGCUCUAACAUAGCUUAAAUUCUGAAAUUAGAUUGAGAAAUCAGAGCCACAACAGUCCAAGAACAAUCUUUUAAUCGCCAUCAUGGUCAACUCUUUACUGGUAAGUUUGCAGAAGAUAUGCAAAAAAAAAAUACGGCGUAUGUAAUUUGCAUUAAAGAUUUACA
rnacentral:lncRNA from 1 species